rnacentral:rRNA from 1 species
UACGGAGGGUGCGAGCGUUGUCCGGAAUCACUGGGCGUAAAGAGCGCGCAGGCGGUCGUUCAAGUCGCGUGUGAAAGCCCCCGGCUCAACCGGGGAACUGCGUCUGAUACUGAAAGGCUUGAAUCCGGGAGAGGAAUGCGGAAUUCCAGGUGUAGCGGUGAAAUGCGUAGAUAUCUGGAGGAACACCGGUGGCGAAGGCGGCAUUCUGGACCGGCAUUGACGCUGAGGCGCGAAAGCCAGGGGAGCAAACGGG